AUACGGAGGAUCCGAGCGUUAUCCGGAUUUAUUGGGUUUAAAGGGUGCGUAGGUGGUUUGAUAAGUCAGCGGUGAAAGUUUGCAGCUUAACUGUAAAAAUGCCGUUGAAACUGUCGGACUUGAGUGUAAAUGAGGUAGGCGGAAUGCGUGGUGUAGCGGUGAAAUGCAUAGAUAUCACGCAGAACUCCAAUUGCGAAGGCAGCUUACUAAGCUACAACUGACACUGAAGCACGAAAGCGUGGGGAUCAAACAGGAUUAGAUACCCUGGUAGUCCACGCAGUAAACGAUGAUUACUAGCUGUUUGCGAUACACAGUAAGCGGCACAGCGAAAGCGUUAAGUAAUCCACCUGGGGAGUACGCCGGCAACGGUGAAACUCAAAUGAAUUGACGGGG
rnacentral:rRNA from 1 species